rnacentral:rRNA from 1 species
AUUGAACGCUGGCGGCAUGCCUUACACAUGCAAGUCGAACGGCAGCAUGGAGAGCUUGCUCUCUGAUGGCGAGUGGCGAACGGGUGAGUAAUGCAUCGGAACGUACCGUGUAAUGGGGGAUAACGUAGCGAAAGUUACGCUAAUACCGCAUACGACCUGAGGGUGAAAGCAGGGGAUCGCAAGACCUUGCGUUAUACGAGCGGCCGAUGUCAGAUUAGCUAGUUGGUGAGGUAAAGGCUCACCAAGGCGACGAUCUGUAGCGGGUCGGAGAGGAUGCACCGCAAACGUGGGACUGAGACACGGCCCAGACUCCUACGGGAGGCAGCAGUGGGGAAUUUUGGACAAUGGGGGCAACCCUGAUCCAGCCAUGCCGCGUGAGUGAAGAAGGCCUUCGGGUUGUAAAGCUCUUUCGGCCGGGAAGAAAUCGCACAGGCUAAUACUCUGUGUGGAUGACGGUACCGGCAUAAGAAGCACCGGCUAACUACGUGCCAGCAGCCGCCGUAA